rnacentral:rRNA from 1 species
CCUACGGGUGACAGCAGUGAGGAAUAUUGGUCAAUGGCCGUAAGGCUGAACCAGCCAAGUAGCGUGAGGGAAGACUGCCCUAUGGGUUGUAAACCUCUUUUAUGAGGGGAGAAAGGGGGCCACGUGUGGAUGUUUGCAGGUACCGCAUGAAUAAGGACAGGCUAAUGCCGUGCCAGCAGCCGCGGUAAUACGGAAGGGCCGGGCGUUAUCCGGAUUUAGUGGGGUGAAAGGGAGCGUAGGCGGGUCUUUAAGCGUGCCGGGAAAUUUUGUGGCUCAACCAUGAGAGUGCGGCGCGAACUGGCGACCUUGACUGCGCUGCAGGCAGGCGGCAUUCGUGGUGUAGCGGUGACAUGCUUAGAUAUCAC